UACGAGGGGUGCAAGCGUUGCUCGGAAUUAUUGGGUGUAAAGGGUAGGUAGGUGGUCUCAUUUGUCUGGGGUGAAAGCCUUGAGCUUAACUCAAGAAGUGCCCCAGAAACGGUGAGACUGGAGUCCUGGAGAGGGUCGUGGAAUUCCCGGUGUAGCGGUGAAAUGCGUAGAGAUCGGGAGGAACACCAGAGGCGAAAGCGGCGACCUGGACAGGUACUGACACUCAACUACGAAAGCGUGGGGAGCAAACAGG
rnacentral:rRNA from 1 species